rnacentral:rRNA from 1 species
AGAGUUUGAUCAUGGCUCAGGACGAACGCUGGCGGCGUGCUUAACACAUGCAAGUCGAGCGGAAAGGCCCUUCGGGGUACUCGAGCGGCGAACGGGUGAGUAACACGUGAGGAACCUGCCCCUAGCUCCGGGAUAGCUUCGGGAAACCGGAAUUAAUACCGGAUGCGACCCUUGUCGGCAUCGACAAGAGUGGAAAGAUU